UACGUAGGGGGCAAGCGUUGUCCGGAAUUAUUGGGCGUAAAGAGCGCGUAGGCGGUCCGAUAAGUCGGCUGUGAAAGUCAGGGGCUCAACCCUUGGAAGCCGGCCGAUACUGUCGGACUAGAGUCCGGAAGAGGCGAGUGGAAUCCCGGUGUAGCGGUGAAAUGCGCAGAUAUCGGGAGGAACACCAAUGGCGAAGGCAGCUCGCUGGGACGGUACUGACGCUGAGGCGCGAAAGCGUGGGGAGCAAACAGG
rnacentral:rRNA from 1 species